AGGGAAAAAAAAGAAAUUGGUAUUUUCCAACAAAAGAAAACUAAAAAAAUUUUCUUGUUAAGAAAAGAAAAGAACAACCAGAUAACAGAGACUCUUUGAUAUAGUCAUUUUUGCCUAGGACAGAGAGCAUUAUAAAAUAUUCUUGGCAUCUUUUCAGAAAUCCAUACCUGACAAUUAUUAGCUAUAUGCUAAUAUUGUCUGACAUUGAUAUAGAAUUAAGUACCAGGAUAUCUCUGAGAUAAGGAACACAGAAGUGCUGUGGCAACUGAUAAUAGAUGUAGCUUGCACUAAUAUAAGGGAAUUUUCACAAAUACUUCAGAAAAAGUACCUCCUCUUCAUUCAGAUCUAGAAAAUGACAGGGUACUAUCGUUUGUUUUAAGUUGUUCCUCGAAAGCAACUCCACAAACACAAACAUAAUCCCAUUGGCUUUAUUUUGCCAUUGUGGAGCAGGUUUAGUAUUUCCAAAGUAACCUAGCAGUUAUUCUGAGGCCAUUUGUAAACUGUAUCCUGAUAGGCUACCAAGGCCAUAUCAUCAUUAUAGGAUUAGAAGAAGUUAAUGGCUUUCUUCCCUCUAAAUCAUAUCACUGGCCACACUGGCCUCCUGACAAUGAGCUUGAUUCUCCAGCAUGAACACAUUUCUUCAUGUUAUACCUCUGGAGCCAAAGGACAAAUCAUUGGCUGAGUGCUCUUUUCACUUGAUUGGGUGAUACUAUCAUGAAAGUCUUGGCCUUAGACAAUUACUGUGAUGCAUACAAUAGGUCAUUUCUUAAGUCUCUCUGGAAAAAUGAGGACUCAAAUAAUAAUUCCUCCUUGUACAGUUGCCAUUAAGAGCUGUAGAAUCCCAAACAGAGGCUAGUUUUAAUGUCAGUGUGCUUGGUAUGAUUAUGAAGUACUCAGCUGAAGGAUUAUGGGAGAUGGAAAAGUCUCAGAGGCAGCAUUUAGGGCAAACACCACUUAAUAAACUAAAAACCACCUUUAUAGAAUGUCAUGCCACUCAAGGUAGUAAACAGUCCUUUAUUCUAGCUUGCUGAGGACUCCUUGGUGUAAAAAUGACCAGGGCCUGGCAGCACACUCCAAAGCCACGUGUCCUGUCUGUGGCAGACUAGUUCUCGUAUACACUAGGAUCUAUGUGGUCAGUGCAAAAGGCUUUGGGGUAGUUAUAGCAACUUUUACCUGCUUCAUUUCUAUCUCUUCAUGAAUUUUAAAAAUGAUCCUAGGACAUGGUUUCUUCUUGGUCAUAGCUCAUAUGUCCUACAACAAAUUAACAGAAACAGGGAAGCUGGUAAUUUUGAUAAAUGAAUGGUGACUAGUACUUACACAACUGAGCUAGAACUACAUGAGAGUCAGAGGUCCCACUGAGUUUCAUCUUGUCUUUUUCUGUCUUAGGGAGAAGCAGACAUGUAGCAGCCACUUGUGGAAUGGCUUCUGAAUAGGCAUUACCACACAGCAACACUAGGCUGCUAACUGCAUACUCAGGAUGAAAAAGCAAAAAGGAAAAGGUGAAGAUAGAGAGAGCCAAAGACUAGCAGGGCUUAAAAAUCAUUUGGUGUCUGAUGGUUGGCUUGGAUGUAAACAUUUGGGGUGUGUGGUAAGCAUGGGAGCAUACUACAUUUCAGAAAACACAUUUACAGAGAACCUUUUACUUAAAAGCGAACUUUUCCCUCUCUCCCUUUGGGCAGAGCUUGGCCUGCUGCAGACCAGGAGGUGUGAAGCAUACAAUGAACUUGAUCAGACUGUCUCUGUGGCAGCUGUCCAAAUCACACAUUUCCCUAGCAGAACAUUCAGGCUUCAGGAGGAAGGAAGUCUUCUGCUACUGAAGAUCAUUAGCAGUGCUGAGUGCAACCACUGUCAGUUGCUUUGGGGUUGGCCUCUGAUCACUCAUACAAAGGACGGAAAAUUGCUGGCGCCGCUGGCCCUGUGCCCAGCCUGUUGGACAGCAGAGCCUAUGAAAGCCACUUUUUUUUUUUUUUUUUUUUAAAUAGCCAACACACUGGAAGGGGGCAAAGGGUGGCUGGCAUACACCCUCAGGCACAUUAAUCAGCAAGGAAUUGAUCAAAUGUCACCACCCACUGGACUUCACUACCAAAACUCCAUGCAAAGGAGACUCCUAGAAAAGGGGAGGCCCCAGAAUAACACUGCAUGCAUAAAAUGUCCUCCCUUCCUUCAUAUGGAAAGCUCAUCUCUGAGGUGUCAGGAUAAAACAUGAGAACAGCAUCUGUCCUUGGAGACCAGCAGGAGUGAUUCACUAUUUCAUGGCACAGAGAAGGGAGGAGGACACUGUAAUAAAAGUUUAUAAGGUGAAAUCUAAAUCCUGAAUGUCCUGCACCUUAAAAAAAACUUUCUUCUUUGUUUUGUUUUGUUUUUUUCUUUCUUUCUCUUCCUCUCCCCUUCCUGAGAGAACAUAACACAAUGUAAUUAAAUGGUAAAUUACUCAAGAAAGAAAUGUCUAGACUCAUGAAAAAAAAAUCUUUGUGCAGAAACAAAACUUUAUACACCUCACAUAUUUUGGAUAGCCUAGUUCUUCCAGCAAAGUUUAACGCUAUAACCAUGAUUGUUUAAAGAAUAAUUUUCAUCAGAUGAAAGGGUAGUGAAGUGAAAAAAUUCACAAUUCUAGCGUAAGACAAUCUGUGGAUGAAGGAAUUAAUUGCUCCUUAAGUAAACAAAGUAAAAUUUGAGGCCAUGAGUGAGCUUUUCUCUAUUUCUAGUCAGUCUCUGAACAGGAAAUGUGUUGCCCUGAGAGUCACAAUGCAUACAUUCUCCCGAAUCCUGAGAACAACCCCAGUAUUCCUCCUAUUCAUCCCUAAAGGAAGAUGUCUGCAUACCAACAACUGAAUCCACAAGGUGAAGCUUAGAUCUUGGCUAAAAUUUACAAUAUAUAAAUAGAUUUUAUUUAACUUAAUUUAGAAAACUUAUGAAGGAUUAGUAUUUUAAAAUACAGUGGCUGAAGCUGGGCCUAUGGUACAUACCUUUGACUCCAACACUGAGACAUAGGCAGCACAAUCUCUAAAUUCAAGGCUAACCUGGUAUACAUAGUAAGUUCCAGGCUAUUCAGCAGAAUAGUUUGUCCUCAAUGUGUGUGUAUGUGUGUGUGUGUAUGUGUGUGUGUGUGUGUGUAGCUAAAAUGGAAAUUAGGAAAGUUAUAGAUUUAAAGGUCAAAAUGUUUGACAUAGUUUGAAAUUGAACUACUUUGUAGGAAUUUAAUCAAUUAGCACAAAAUUUCAAGAUAUUGUACAAGGUUUCAUUAAGGGACUACUGAAGGUAUAAUGCAAUUAAAUGUAAAAGAGACUCUAUUUAAAAUGCUCCAAGUAGACAGGCUGUGCUAUUUUAAGGUACUAAUUUCCAUCUGGCAGAGCAGAACCAGACCUACAAUGCUGUGCUUCAGAGCAAUUGCUCUUAGGUCUCAGGGUGCCGUGGGGUUACUGAGUGUCAUAGGCACCAUGAUACAUCUUCUGUACAGUGGCUCCAGUUGGGAUCCAUCUCUUUUUAGUGAAUGACAUCUAUGCGAGAGGCAGCAGCUCCCUCUCUCAUUAUGGAACAAAACACAACAAAACCCUUCAUUUGCUGUGCUUUUGUAAGAUUUAGUUUAGGUUGAAGCAACAGUAUACUUUUGAUAUGAACAUAGAACACUAUUCUUAAAGCACACUAAUUGAAGAGCAAUUAAUUAAAUUAUAUCACACACAAUAACUCCUAAGAACUACUUUUUAAAAGCCAGAUGUUGCAUUCAUAUGGUUAAAACUUCAAAAACUAACAAGGCAUGUCGUUGCAAUCUCCCCUAAUUAGCAUCUCUUCCUUCUGCAAUCAAGCAGCCACAGUUUAAUUCCCAUUUUACUCCCCGUUUGCAUCACAAUCUGCAUACUAUCCCAAUCAUGCCACUUCAGUUUCUCAUCUCUGAAAGGAGUUUGUUUCAUGAAUACCCUUUUACGUUUUGACAGAUGUAAGAAACCACCUCAUAAAUAUGUCAUCAUUUAAAUUGUUGAAUUUAGACAUUAGCUUUCUAUCGAUGGGGAUGGGCUCUCCUCUUGGCUAAAAAAAGGGGGGCGGGGACAAAAAUACUGAGGGAAAGGCCUUGAAUUUUUAAAUCUUCCUAUGAUUCUGUUCUGCAGCUGUAGAACUAUGCACUUUUUGGGACUUUCAGUUUGCCAUCUAUCUCUAUCACAAACAUUGCUUCACCCUGUUUUGAACUUUUAUACCUUCUAACAAGUAGCUUUUAGUAGUCCUCUUGGUUCUAAGUAGAGAUGAUAAGAUAAUAACCACCACUAUCCCCUAAGAGGUUUGAAUGCUUUAUAAGCAGUAAUAUCUUGAGGGUCCAAAUAAAAGCUGCUUGAGCUCAGAUGCCCUACAGUAAGCUAUUAAAAACAUUUCUUUCUUUCUUUUCUUUUUUUUUUAGGUAUUUUCUUCAUUUACAUUUCCAGUGCUAUCCCAAAAGUCCCCCCCCCCCCCACUCCCACUUCUUGGUCCUGGCAUUCCCCUGUACUGAGGCAUAUAAAGUUUUCAAGACCAAUGGGCCUCUCUUUCCACUGAUGGCCGACUAGGCCAUCUUCUGAUACAUAUGCAGCUAGAGACACGAGCUCCGGGGGGUACUGGUUAGUUCAUAUUGUUGUUCCACCUAUAGGGUUGCAGAUCCCUUCAGCUCCUUGGGUAUUUUCUCUAGCUCCUCCAUUGGGGGCCCUGUGAUCCAUCUAAUAGCUGACUAUGAGCAUCUACUUCUAUGUUCUAUAAAAACAUUUCUAAGCUGUUUAAGAUAUCAGGGAUUUUAGUUAGAAGUACUGAAUUCAAAUACAGAACUUGCUAUUUGCUGGCUGUAUUUUUUUGGCAACUCCUUCUAAUCUCUUCAGCCCUCAGUUUCAUACAUUUGAAGAAGACCCCUACAUAGGUCUGCUCUGAGGGGAUAAGACAACACACAACUUUGCAAGAGGUAAUGGCUUCCAAAACUCUUGUGAGUAUGUAUGUAUGUAUGUAUGUGUGUGUGUGUGUGUGUGCAUGCAUGCAUACAUGUAUGUAUUAUCUAUCUUUCUGUCUAUUCAUUAUUUUAUUUUGAGACAGGGUCUUACCAUGUGACUCUGGCUGACCUAGAACUCUAUCUGUAGACCAUAUAGAUCAGGCUGGUCUGGAACUUGUAGCUUGCCUCUAUAUACCUCCUGAAUCCCAAAGACAUCCUCUAAAACAUCAUUACCACACCGACUAAAAGCAUGUAUCUUUUACUUAACAGAGGACUGGGAAAGUGAGGGAAGGGUGGGGAUAUCAGACCAGGGUUAAGUGUUCUCAUGGGCUAACAUCUUGAGGACAUGAGUUUACACUGUCUCCAGAACAUGAAGAGUCAGCUAGAUCAAGAACACAAAGGGACAGAUGGCCUGGGAUGGGGCAGAGAUGGCUAUGGCUAAGGACAAAUCCAGGGCAAUAAUCUCCAUUUUCCAUUCUUGGAGCAGUAAAAGGAAACCUAUAACUUUUGGGGAGUGGGUAUGUAAAAUUUUGCUUUGUUUUUAUAGGAAAUAAUGUGAAAGAAAGUUGAAAUAUGAAGAUAUGUCAGGAAAACAUGGUAGUUCAUGCCUGUAAUCACAGCACUUAGAAGGCUGAGACAAGAGGACUGCCAUGAAUUCGAUGCUAAUCUGGUUACACAUAAUGAGUUCCAGGCUAGUCUGAGCUACAGAAUUCUGACACCAGGGGACAAUGGAUAUGGAGUUCCUACAACCAUCAUUUGGGCAGAUGAAGGAGAGCCAGGGAUAUACCACAGAUUUUUGGGACCAUGGACACUAAGAAUCACCAGAAUCAUCAGCUGAUUUCAGGAGAACUCAACAAAGGCCACAGGCAUUGAAUUUUCUGAACCUGGAGUUACAAAUGAACCUGCUGGAUGUGAAUACUGGGAAUAGGACUGGAAACUGACUCUUCUGCAAGGGAGCAAAUGCAUGCAGAAUCCUGAAGACAAACAGGGCAUUUAUUCACCUAUGGAAAGCAAGCAGCAUUGCAUCCUCUGCAGUCACUGUUGCUAGGAAUUUGGAACUUUGAGUUGCUUUAAAGAAGGGUUUGAUUUAAUAGCCAGAAGCUGGAAAGAACCCAGAUGCCCCUCAACAGA